rnacentral:rRNA from 1 species
UACGUAGGGUCCGAGCGUUGUCCGGAAUUAUUGGGCGUAAAGCGCGCGCAGGCGGUCUUUUAAGUCUGAUGUGAAAGCCCACGGCUCAACCGUGGAGGGUCAUUGGAAACUGGGAGACUUGAGUGCAGAAGAGAAGAGCGGAAUUCCACGUGUAGCGGUGAAAUGCGUAGAGAUGUGGAGGAACACCAGUGGCGAAGGCGGCUCUUUGGUCUGUAACUGACGCUGAGGCGCGAAAGCGUGGGGAGCGAACAGG